rnacentral:rRNA from 1 species
UUGAACGCUGGCGGCAUGCCUUACACAUGCACGUCGAACGGCAGCACGGGUGCUUGCACCUGGUGGCGAGUGGCGAACGGGUGAGUAAUACAUCGGAACAUGUCCUGUAGUGGGGGAUAGCCCGGCGAAAGCCGGAUUAAUACCGCAUACGAUCUACGGAUGAAAGCGGGGGACCUUCGGGCCUCGCGCUAUAGGGUUGGCCGAUGGCUGAUUAGCUAGUUGGUGGGGUAAAGGCCUACCAAGGCGACGAUCAGUAGCUGGUCUGAGAGGACGACCAGCCACACUGGGACUGAGACACGGCCCAGACUCCUACGGGAGGCAGCAGUGGGGAAUUUUGGACAAUGGGCGAAAGCCUGAUCCAGCAAUGCCGCGUGUGUGAAGAAGGCCUUCGGGUUGUAAAGCACUUUUGUCCGGAAAGAAAUCCUUGGCUCUAAUACAGUCGGGGGAUGACGGUACCGGAAGAAUAAGCACCGGCUAACUACGUG